GGCGCGGUGGCUAAGUGGUAAGGCGUCGGUUUCGUAAACCGAAGAUAGCGGGUUCAAAUCCCGUCUGUGCCU